GUGACUCACCUACCGAGAAGAGCUGAGCCUGGCACUCUGCCAGCCUAGGACAGAAGCGACUUAGUCACCACCCACCGGGACUGCGCUGCCCGCAGGCGUGGCCAGCGAUCGGGACAGGGGCUGUGCCCUCUGCCUACAGGCGCCCCCUGGUGAAGACAGGCGGGCUUUAGCAUCCCCACGGGGCUGGGCCCGCUCCUGCCCCUCUCCACUGCCCACCCCCAUCUCGCCGGACCCUGCUCCCGUGGCAACAAGCUGCCUCUGGCAGGCAGCCCACUACCCUUGGAGCCCGGCCCCCACCCCCAGUCCACCUAGUGUAGGAAGUAAGCGUUGGAGAGUAUUUGUCAUGCGGAGACCAGCCCAGGAGAGGAGAGAAGCAGCAAGGCGGAGACAGACAGACAGACAGACAAACAGACGGGAUUCCUGUGCUCUGUGCUCCAGCUGCAACCAACCACUAGCUGGGCCUGAAGUCAAUUUGAAGGCGAAGCAGGGGACAGAGGUACCACGUCUGCCUGCAGAGGGACCUGAACAACUCCAGGGGGCGUUGUUUACUCACAGCCCAAGGUCAGGUUUCCCUGUAGCUGUACAACACGGCAGCCCUCAGGGAGACAGAACUCAGGCUGGACCCCAAGGGGCUGUGAUUAUGCUCCCAGUUCUCUCCCACAGCACCCACCCCUGCCUCCAGGCCUCAGAGAAGGGAUCCCUUUGGACCAGGAAUCAGAAGCCCAGAGCCUGAGCUGGCCGAGGUAAACCACACCUGUGAUCCCAGCACUGAGGAGGCUGAGGCAAGAGGAUCACCACAAGUUUGAGGCCAGUUUACCCUACAUAGUGAGUUGAAGCCCAGCCUGGCCUACAGAGCGAGACCCAAAACAAACUAACAAAUAAACCUGUCCUGUCUCCCUGCC
rnacentral:lncRNA from 1 species